AGUGAACGCUGGCGGUAGGCCUAACACAUGCAAGUCGAACGGCAGCACAGGAGAGCUUGCUCUCUGGGUGGCGAGUGGCGGACGGGUGAGGAAUACAUCGGAAUCUACUCUGUCGUGGGGGAUAACGUAGGGAAACUUACGCUAAUACCGCAUACGACCUACGGGUGAAAGCAGGGGACCUUCGGGCCUUGCGCGAUUGAAUGAGCCGAUGUCGGAUUAGCUAGUUGGCGAGGUAAAGGCCCACCAAGGCGACGAUCCGUAGCUGGUCUGAGAGGAUGAUCAGCCAAACUGGAACUGAGACACGGUCCAGACUCCUACGGGAGGCAGCAGUGGGGAAUAUUGGACAAUGGGCGCAAGCCUGAUCCAGCCAUACCGCGUGGGUGAAGAAGGCCUUCGGGUUGUAAAGCCCUUUAGUUGGGAAAGAAAUCCAGCUGGCUAAUACCCGGUUGGGAUGACGGUACCCAAAGAAUAAGCACCGGCUAACUUCGUGCCAGCCGCCGCAGUAA
rnacentral:rRNA from 1 species